UACAGAGGGUGCAAGCGUUGUUCGGAAUUACUGGGCGUAAAGCGCGUGUAGGCGGCGGCGUUAGUCGGAUGUGAAAUCCCUCAGCUCAACUGAGGAAGUGCAUUCGAUACUGCGUCGCUUGAAUGUCGGAGGGGAUGGCGGAAUUCCCGGUGUAGAGGUGAAAUUCGUAGAUAUCGGGAGGAGCACCUGUGGCGAAGGCGGCCAUCUGGACGACAAUUGACGCUGAGACGCGAAAGCGUGGGUAGCAAACAGG
rnacentral:rRNA from 1 species